rnacentral:tRNA from 1 species
AACCACGUGGUGAAAUUCAUACCAGAUUGCAAAUCUGGGGAUACACUUUUAUAGGUGUCUUGGUUU